GCUUCAGCAGAAAGGUGAGCCUUAGCUUCUCUAUCCUUGUUGAACUUGCUCGGCCUGAGGUGUGGAUGUAGAAUCCAGCACUGGCUCUUCUUAUGCCCCUGCCGCUUGCAAUGCUCACAGCUUCCCUCAUACUUCUCAUACUUCCUUCCAUCUCCACGGUACGCUGCCUUGUUUGCUUGCGCCUCUUCCGCUUUAUGAGCCGUGGACAUUCCCUUCUUGCCUCCAAACAAC
rnacentral:lncRNA from 1 species